rnacentral:rRNA from 1 species
UACAUGUGGGGCAAGCGUUGUUCGGAAUUACUGGGCAUAAAGGGUGCGUAGGCGGCUUGAUAAGUCAGUGGUGAAAUCCGGUGGCCCAACCAUCGAACUGCCAUUGAUACUGUUGAGCUUGAGUGCGUGAGGGGUAACCGGAACGAGUGGUGUAGCGGUGAAAUGCGUAGAUAUCACUCGGAAGGCCAACGGCGAAGGCAGGUUACUGGUGCGCAACUGACGCUGAGGCACGAAAGCGUGGGGAGCAAACAGG